GAAUUUAGUUCAACAUAAAAUAACCCUACAUCCCAUAAUUUACACUCUUAUUUUAAAGCAAUUCAAAUGAGGUACAGCCCAUUUGACACAGGAUUCAACCUUUACUAACGGGUAACACUUGAUUUUCACUUAAAAGUAGGCCUAAAAGCAGCCACCUUUUAAAAAGCGUCAAAGCUUAACUAUGAAAAUCUUAAAUUCUCAGAUCCCUACUGACCCCUUUAACUGUACUGAGAACUUCUAUAAACCUAUAGAACCUUUUCUGCUAAAACUAGUAACAAGAGGUCCCCCUCUCCUUAAUGCAAGCACAACCCAGCAAGAACCAAUCACUGGCAACUAGCAGACAAUAAAUGUAGCAACUUCGCUAGAAAACCCUACUUCCACCUCUGUUAACCUAACACUAGAGCAUUUCAAGAAAGAUUAAAAGAAAGAGAAGGAAUUCCGCAAAUAUAGCCUCGCCUGUUUACCAAAAACAUCGCCUCUUGACCCACCCAUAAGAGGUCCAGCCUGCCCAGUGACUCUGUUCAACGGCCGCGGUAUCCUAACCGUGCAAAGGUAGCGUAAUCACUUGUCUUCUAAAUAAAGACCAGUAUGAAAGGCACCACGAGGGCUAAACUGUCUCCUCUUUCUGAUCAGUGAACCUAAUCCCCCCGUGAAGAAGC
rnacentral:rRNA from 1 species